UGACCGUUAGCUCAGUUGGUUAAGAGCGUGGUGCUGCUAACGCCAAGGUUGCUGGUUCGAUCCCCGCAUGGGCCA